rnacentral:rRNA from 1 species
GCAUAACGCGAAGAACCUUACCUAGACUUGACAUCUCCUGAAUUACUCGUAAUAGAGGAAGCCCUUCGGGGCAGGAAGACAGGUGGUGCAUGGUUGUCGUCAGCUCGUGUCGUGAGAUGUUGGGUUAAGUCCCGCAACGAGCGCAACCCUUGUCGUUAGUUGCUACCAUUAAGUUGAGCACUCUAGCGAGACUGCCGCGGUUAACGCGGAGGAAGGUGGGGAUGACGUCAAAUCAUCAUGCCCCUUAUGUCUAGGGCUACACACGUGCUACAAUGGUGAGUACAACGAGAACCAAGACCGCGAGGUGGAGGAAAACUCAAAAACUCAUCCCAGUUCGGAUUGCAGGCUGCAACUCGCCUGCAUGAAGCUGGAGUUGCUAGUAAUCGCAAAUCAGAAUGUUGCGGUGAAUACGUUCCCGGGUCUUGUACACACCG